CGGCGUCAGCGGCUUCUCGAACAGGUGCUCCUUCUCGUAGUGGUGGUGCUGCUGGUGGUGGUAGUGUAGGUUGGUGUACAUGGCCACGCCCCAGGGCCAGGCCUGCGGGUGCUGGUGCUGCCCUUGGGAGAGAUGGUUCGUGGCCAUUUCUUGUGCAGCGAGGAAAGCUCUUGGGUGGCGGCGGUGGUGGGGAGUAGAGUAGCGCAGCGCAGUGAUGGUGUGUGUGUGUCGCGUAGAGAACCAUGCAGGUGUCUUGGCCAGGCAUUUAUAGCCCAAGAGCAGGAGGACUUUUGGGACGACGACGGAGCUAGCUAAGCUAGCUAGCGUCUACGCGAGACGUAGUAUUAAUAUUCCCCCCCCCCCCCCCCCCCCCCCUGCUGGUACUACACAACAUGAGGUCUUGAUGCGUUUGAUCUGGCUAUUAGCAUGGAGAAGGCUAGAGAGACAGGAGGAAUCAAAGUGUGAAGGGCUUCAGAGGUGGGCGUGAGGCAGGUUAUAAAAUAUGUAGUAGUAGGCUGGUGGUGAGGCCGGGCCGGGACGACGAUCAGGUGGUGUACGUGGUGCUACUUCAAAGUUAGUGCCUGGACUGGACAUUGUGUGUGUGUGGCCUAACCACAGCCAUCCAGGGAGAGGGAGGUGGUGUAGGCCCUACCAUUUUGCUUUCCAUGUGCUCUGGUGGUGGUUGGAGCCUAGACGUACCACUGUCAUUAGCACAUUUAGCUACCCGGACCGUUUUUAACCCCGGCCGUCGAUCUUGGAUGGAUGGACGGUGAGAGGAAGUCAUGAGCAUUAUCCCAUCGUCCCAUAGAUUGGCAGCAGUUUCUUCAUGCCCCUGUGGUCCGCAUGCAUUGGGAUAGCUGGUGGACAGUUACGUGUCAAGGGUACUACUGCUACUGCAUGCAUGAUCUCGCAGGCCAGGCCAGGCCGGUGUGACAUCUGGGGCAUGUUUGGUUCCCUACCUAACUUGCCACACUUUGCCUAACUUUUCUGCCUAAGGUUAGUUCUUCAAUUUGAACGACUAACCUUGGGCAAAGUGUGGCGUAGUUAGCCACGAACCAAACAGGCCCCUGAUCGAGGCGCGCGCGUAUGCUCUAACUAUCCACGCACUGUUUUCUACUCGUACCGCCAGCCAUGCAUUUUUUUUUCUGAUCCCAGAUUCAAUACGACCAAGGGGUUCUGCUAGACCUGUCUCAUUCAAUAAUGAGGAUAUAUCUGGUGCACAUGGAAGCUUAGUGCACAUGAUACACAUAUUAAAUCAUAAUCAUCCAUCUUAGAUCUAACAUAUCUUGUUAAUCAUUGCAAUUUACAAAUAACACCUUCUAUCACUACGUCCCACCACGUCAGAGGGUGUACUUAGCAAAAUAUAUAUAGAUCUAAAAUGAGUUGUGAUGAUUUAAUAUGUAUAAUAUGCACUACCGGAAUCCGAGGCUUUGCCGAGUGUUGGCCGCUUUGCCGAGUGCCUUUUGUCGGGCACUCGGCAAAGACGGCUUUGCCGAGAGCCGCCCUCGGUAACGUUAGGCUCUCGGCAAAGAGCCACUUUACCGAGUGCUGGACACUCGGCACAGGUGCACACUCGGCAAAGACACAUUCGACACAGGGCAGACACUCGGCAAAGAUAACUCCUUUGCCGAGUGUCACCAGGGACACUCGGCAAAGCCGCCGUCUCCGUCACCCGGCGCCGUAACGACUGCUUUUCUUUGCCGAGUGCUCUCUGACACUCGGCAAACCUCUUUGCCGAGUGCCCGAGAAAAAGCACUCGGCAAAGAAGGCUUUGCCGAUGCACUGUUUGCCAAGCCUUCUUUGCCGAGUGCCACACUCGGCAAAGCCUUUGCCGAGUGCCACACUCGGCAAAGCCUUUGCCGAGUGUUUUUAAGGCUUCGCCGAGUGCUUCAGGCACUCGGCAAAGCGAUUGAUUCCGGUAGUGAUGUGCAUUAAACUUCCAUUUACACCAGAUACGUUCUCUUCAAUAAUAGGUGGCCGCUGACCACACCCAAUAGGGCAGCAAUGCAAGCAGGCUGCUUCCAUGCAAACAAGCUGGUUCUGGCUGGAUUCUUUACACAACUCAUGCAAUUGGCUGUAACAUACUACUAUAUUUUUCUCACUCAACCCGUUCUUGCAGGACAACCUGUGCCUGCCUCCGUCGAGGACGCUAUAUGGCGGACACCAACCAACUGCAAAUUAAAAGAGAGAAUACUUCUCUAAUCUCUCUGUGUUAGAGAGCACCUCCUGUUGUUGGAGGAUCGGGAUGCAGGACGACGCAAGGUAUACGAUCUGUUUUCCCUGCGUUUUUAAUGACAGAUCUCUGUAUCAAGCGCGCCGGUAUAAUAUAUUUUUCCCCCCGUAUCAUUAUAUGGAGGGCGGAAAUCGGCGAUGUCGCUUUGCUUGGUACUUUGGAGACAAGCAUUCCGUCACAUGGUUCAGUCAGUACGUGGCUGGAUACAUUGUAUGCUGACUAAUAAGAUAUGCUAUUGUGGAGUAUUAUUCAGCUUGUCAACCUUUGGGAAACCGGAGGGGCCUGUAUGGGUUGUCCCUCUCGUUCUGUUAGUAGGUACGGUCAAGAGUCUCUAUAGUAGUGAUGACCGGACGGUAUCUUCAAAGGUGAUCACACCCUCUGUUCGUUCUGUUUGCUUGGCUCUUUCUAACAUUUAGAAUUAGAUUAGGUUAAGUUACUUCCAUACAUUUCAAAGUCCAAGGGUCUAAAGUACUCUCGCUGCUCUCCGUAUUUACGGGUGAAGGCUUACGUCGGUUUAUCUUUUUUUUCCAGACUCCAUUCAUGCAUAUGGGGUGCCUGCCUUUGACACUAGAUCUACUCUAUCGUAUAUUUGAAAACCAUAAGUCUCUAUUUUUUUCCUGACUCAGACUCUUUUUCUUUCCGAUCUAAUAAGGACCAGAGAAUUGGGGAUAUGUGUGACGUGAUUAUUAAUCUCACGUGGCAUUAUGCUUUCUGCUCCUCCUCCUCCUCUGUGGCUUCAAGUUCCCAAGCAUCACAAUAUUCGAGCAUUGGAAUGGGAAGUAUAUAUAGGAUCAAGAUUGGACCUGGACAAAGAUCUGCCCGCCCUUAGCCUGUCCGUCCAAUUUCCGAAAGCCUUUCGACUCAGACGGUAUGAUUGUUGUCCCUCCUUUCUCCGUUUAUGCAUCUAUAUACACUCGCAGUCCCCUUGCCUCUCUCUCUCUCCAUUUGAUGCAAAUCCCCAUAUAUACGUUACUCUUAACUUUCGUUGUUUCCUGUGUUCAUGAACUUUGGAACGCGCAGCAGUUGAAGUUGUUGCCACUCACCUUGCUGCAUGCAUGUACAGAUGCACUGCUGCAAAAGACGAGUGUACUCGAUGGCAUGCAUGCAUGGCAACGUCAGUAGGCCGGGUGGUGAUCUCGAUUCACUAGCAGAGAACAGUCGUUCGGGUUUUCCUACUAGUCUGGUCCCGGGCAGAGUUGGGCUCGGAACUCAUGGAAGCAUUAUUAGUCCUAGUUGCCAUCACCCGGGACUAAAAUUCCUGGCCAAAUGGUCAAGACCACAGGCUUUUUUACAGGAGGAACCUUGACUCCUUGAGUCCUGAUUGAGUGACGGGUGGCUUCAACCGUGACUGAACUAAACCCUUUAGGUCUAGUUUGGGAGCAAGGAUACCGGAGGGGAUUAGAUGGACUAAAUUUUCAUUCUAUUCAAUUUUGAAUAUUGUCGGCGUUUCGAGACCGGGGUCCCUCAGGCCGACGAGUGAGUGCCGCGUGCCCCAGCCCAGAUGGGUCGAGCGCGUGGGCGAGCACAAAGGGGGGAGAGGAGCGAGGCGGCCGGAGUCCGGCGUGAGAGUGGUGGGAAUCCCGCGGCCUUCGUGUUCGUCCCGCGCCCAGGUCGGGUGCGCUUGCAGUAGGGGUUACAAGCGUCCACGCGGGUGAGGGAAGCGAGCGGCCCCAAGGGAGCGCCUGUCUCGUCCUCGUCCUCGCGCGGCCAACCCUCUCUAAGAGGGCCCUGGUCCUUCCUUUUAUAGGCGUAAGGAGAGGAUCCAGGUGUACAAUGGGGGUGUAGCGAGGUGCUACGUGUCUAGCGGGUGAGAGCUGACGCCCUAAGUACAUGCCAAUGUGGCAGCCGGAGAGAUCUUGGCACCCUGCUGGUGUGAUGUUGUGGCCGUCGGAGGAGCGACGGUGCUUGGCGGAGGGACAGCUGUUGGAGCGGUCGAGUCCUUGCUGACGUCCGCCUGCCUCCGUAAGAGAGCUGGGGGCCGCCGUCGUCACAGAGCGUGCGGGGGCGCCAUCAUUGCCUAUCUGGCAGAGCUAGCCAGAUGGGACACCGGUCUUGUUCCCUACGACCCGAGGCGGCUCGGGGUAGGGUAAUGAUGGUGCCUCCUGUUGACGUGGCUGGCCCGCGCCCUAGGUCGGGCGACGUGGAGGCUCCUCCGAAGCUGAGGUCGAGUCUGUAUUCCGUGGCCGAGGCCGAGCCCCUAGGUCGGGCGAGGCGGAGGUCGUUCGGCGGAGGCCAGGGCGGAGUCCGAGCCCUGGGGUCGGGCGAAGCGGAGUUCGUCGUCUUCUGGGACUGAGCCCGAAUCCGAGCCCUGGGUCGGGCGGAGCGGAGUUCGCCGUCUUCCGGGACUUAGCUCGAGUCCGAGCCCUGGGUUGGGCGGAGCUUCCUAUGGCGCCUUUGGUAGGACCUGACCGCCUGUCAGUCUCACUCUGUCAAGCGGCGCUGUAGUCGGAGUGGCGCAGGCGGCGCUGCCCUUCUGUCAGACCGGUCAGUGGAGCGGCGAAGUGACGGCGGUCACUUCGGCUCUGCCGGGGGGCGCGCGUCAGGAUAAGGUGUCAGGCCACCUUUGCAUUAAAUGCUCCUGCGACUUGGUCGGUUGGUGCGGCGAUUUAGUCAGGGUUGCUUCUUAGCGAAGGCAGGGCCUCGGGCGAGCCGGAGAUGCGUCUGCCGUUGGAGGGGGGCCUCGGGCGAGACGGAAACCUUCCGGGGUCGGCUGCCCUUGUCCGAGGCUAGGCUCGGGCGAGGCGUGAUCGAGUCGCUCGAAUGGACUGAUCCCUGGCUUAAUCGCACCCAUCAGGCCUUAGCAGCUUAAUGCUGAUGGGGGUUACCAGCUGAGAAUUAGGAGUCUUGAGGGUACCCCUAAUUAUGGUCCCCGACAGUAGCCCCCGAGCCUCGAAGGGAGUGUUAACACUCGUUUGGAGGCUUUCGUCGCACUUUUUUGCAAGGGGACCAGCCUUUCUCGGUUGCAUUUUGUUCCGGUGGGUGCGCGCGAGCGCACCCGCCGGGUGUAGCCCCCGAGGCCUCGGAGGAGUGUUUUCACUCCUUCGAGGUCUUAAUGCCUCGCGUAAUGCUUCGGCUGGCCUGGUUGUUCCCUCAUGCGAACUGGCCGUAGCCCGGGUGUACGGUCGGGGCCCAAGUUCUCGGGCUGGUAUGUUGACGCUGUCAACGGUUUGGCCGGAGCCGGGUUUGCGAGAGCAGCCCCCGAGCCUCUGCACAGAGCGAGAGGGCGAUCAGGGACAGACUCGGCUUUUUGCAUACGCCCCUACGUCGCCUUUCCGCAAGGAGGAGGGGGGAAAGCGCCAUGUUACCCUCGAUGGGCACCGAACAUGGUGUCUCCGAUGAGCUGCAAGCGGGUAAUCCGAGUGGACGUCCGUGCCCCGUUCGUUAGGGGUCGGCUAGGGGCCCAGAGGCACGCCCAAAAGUACCUGCGGGUGAUCUGCCAGACCCGGUCCCCUGGCGACGGGGUCCGAGGGCUCGAUGCCUCCCUCUGGUGGGAUUCUGUUACAAGAUCGCUCCCGCUGGUCUCGGAAAUGUCCUAGGGUACCUCGGGAGCGCAGCCCGAGCCUCGGUUAUGUAUCGAACGUACCCCUGGUCAUCCCUCGCUCGGUGUCUGAGGCGACUGUGAACCCUUCGGGGGCCAGCCUUCGAACCCCUGAUCAGUAAUGGGCGCGGAGCCCGGGUAGCCUGAGGCGGUCGUGGAACCCUUCGGGGGGCCGGCCUUCGAACCUCUGACCAGUAGUGGGUGUAUGGCCCACGCGAUCUGAGGCGGCUGUUGAACCCCUCGGAGGGCCAGCCUUCGAACCUCUGAUCAGUAAGGAGGCUCGGAGCCUGGUUCCUUCACUGGGAAGGAUCCUUUUCGGGGUAUCCCCCUUUCCCGGUCCCUGUUGCAAGAGAGAGAAAGAGGAAAAAACGAAAAGGAUUCGAAAUCGAACGACGUGGCGUACCUUUUUUUGGUGCGGUUAUUUCGGCGAAGGCGAAGCGUCGCCUGCCUUUCCUGCGCCGCCUGUCCUGCCGCGGAGUUAAUGCGACGGGGCGAGUGGUUGGUGGGGCGGCCAUUGCGCGUGCGCGAGCCGUUCGAGGGACGGAUCACGGGCGCGUCGUCUUCACGCCGUGAGAGGGGGUUCUCUUGCUGCUCCCGGAUGGGACGUGAGCUUGGCUGACGACGUGACCGCUGCUCCCGCCCGCCUGCCACCGCCAUUACUGCCGGUCCACCUUUGGCCACAUUGACCGUCGCGCCAGGCUGGCGCUGCCGGGUCGUGCGCUGGGUCGCCUCGAGUCGCGGUGUUGGUUCCGCAAUCGAGGAGGCGCGGUGGUGGCGCAAGUGGCGGUGCAAUUGCUUGUAUGCAGCAUCCGGCGCGCCGGUUGCGUGACGCGUGGGCCUGGUCUUCCAUGCAGGCGUGUCAGGAGUCGGAGAAGUGCGUCCACCUGGCGCGGUUGCAUGCCGCCUGCAUGGCUGCCGGCCUCUUUCGCCCGUUGGUCUGGGCAAAAGUGGAGGGUCGCUUGUAACCGCCGGGCGGUCGUGCGCGCCGUGCGCGGCGGUUUGGCUUCUUCCGCUCUGAGCCGGCCUGCACGACAUGCGGGACCCAGCCCCCGCGCCGCAGGGGAGGGCCUUGGAGUGUGUUGGAGGAGCCUCAGCCCGUGACGGUUGGAGGCACAAGUAGGGAGAGUGGCCUUUAAAAGGAGGGCGACCCCCUUCGGAAGGCGACCAUGUCUUCUCCCUUCCUCAUGCACCGUGUCUUUCCAUCUUCCAAGCCCCUGGAUGGGGGAUGCCCGCCGUUUUUUCGCCUCAUCGUUGGAGGAACGCAACUCCGUGGGAGUUGGUACCUUUCAGCCAUCGUUCGGCUUCAAGGAUUUUCAUCAUGCAGCCCGGCCGCACCCCUCCACCGGCGGUCACCUAGGACGGUGACCUCCAACUUGGUGGUGGGGGAAAGCGAGCCGGGCUGCGGCCUCUGCCCCUCCCUCAGCCUCAAGGAUUUUCAUCACCGAGGCUAGGGAGGGGAGUGUGCCGAGUUGGGUCGGCCCCUGCGUGGGUGGCGGUCCGCUCCUUCACUCAGUGAUCGGAGGGAAGGGCAGUCGCUGUCCGCGGCGCUGGCAGCUGCCGCGUGCCUGGCUCUCGGACCCGAGUGGCUUCGGAGCCGCUCUCGGUGCCGGCGUCUGCCACGGCAGCUGGAAGAGGUUCUUCCGCCGACGAGAUAGCCGGGGCCGACCUCGGACCGACCUCCAACUCCGCGGCCUUCUGACCGUCCUUGCCUUACGAGUUUUUGGCACGGGUGGGCAGAAGUCGUCGUCGUCGCCGCUGCUGGAGCAGGUGACGGCGCGCCAUUCGUCGGUCUUCUGUUGCUCCGCAGGCCUACCCCUAUGGAGUGGGGUUGUUCGUACCUGCGGAGGGGGGGACCGGAGUUCCGUUUGUAAUGGCACUUCGAAUGCCAGUGUUUUUGUUCAUUGCGGCUUUCGGGGCCUGAACAUGUAUGUAAUUUUCGGCUCGGAGCCGUGUUUUUUCCUCAUUUUCGAGCACUAAGACUCGCCUGUUGAUUAUCUGAACCGCUUCACCAAGCAUGAGUCGCCCCGUGUCAAGGUGACGAGUGAGGUAUCCGUAGCCCGGAGGCGUAGGAGCCCCUCGGCUCGGUCGGCCUUGUUGUCUGAGGCUCCUCUAGCUUAGUUAAAGAACCCCUUGGCCGCUCUUCGACGAGCCGAGGCCAGGGGUAGCGAUAUCAGCAUGAACAGAGGCGGAGUCGGCUCGAAAAUGAAACCUAGUUGGCCGGAGCCAAGCCGGGUUGUCCGUUGGUGGGACCGACGCCGGAGUCGAUCAGUCGAGGCCUCGGGUCGGGCUGGCGCCCCUGGAAGAUGGUCGGCCGAGGCCCCAGGGGUAUCCGGCUGAGCCGCCUGCUCGGGCCGGAUUCCCGGAGAAGACCCUGGCGGCGAUGGCCCGGGCGUGGUGAUGACGUCGUCCUUCGGAGCGGAGGCCUUCGGACCGCGUCGCCGUCCGAGGCUAGGUCGAACCUCGCCGAAGGUGUCGUCGAUGCCGAGGGUGCUGCUGCCCCCUUCCAGCGUCAAGACCCGAGCCUACAGGAUCAGAAUGUCUUGUAGUGUGUGUCUUCUGCGACCGCCGAGGCCAGAAAACACACCCUCGCUGUGUUGUAAAGCUGCGUCUCCUUUCCUCUUGUUUCGGGUAUCUGGACUUUUUUGUCGGUAACAGGGACGUUUGUGCGAGCGAGAGUUGCUUCUCGCGGAAGGUGAUGAGUGAGGUAUCCGUAUCCCAGAGGCGUGGGAGUCCCUCGGCUCGGUCGGCCUUCCCGCUUACGCGUACUUUCACCCGUCCAUGGGGCCCUAUCACCGACUCAGUCUAGAAGGCCCGAAGGAUCGCUUCGGCAGAAGAGCUUCCAAACGUAAAGACUUGUUCGAUCCGCGGAGUCGCUUUAUCCGAACGCGAGUUACUUAUCGCAGAAGGUGAUGAGUGAGGUAUCCGUAUCCCGGAGGCGUAGGAGUCCCUCGGCUCGGUCAGCCUUGGCUGCUUACGUGUACUCCGUCGUUUUCAGGAUCUGCUUCUCGAAGUAGUCAGAAAGCACGAAAGAUAUUCUGACAGAAGAAAUCUUUUUUCGAGGAAAAUUUCAACGCAGAGGGGGUGCUCCCCCUUUUAGCCCCCGAGGGAGGGUCGGGCUUUGCCGAGGCGAGGCCGACCCUUCCUUGAUGACUAAACUUCGCGUGGGUGCGAGGUGUAUAAACGACUUGAAAACAUCUUAAGGGUAGAAACGACGUAGCUGUUGGAUGUUCCAAGCGUUGCCGUAGACCUCGCCUUGGCUGUUGGCCAGCUUGUACGUUCCGGGCUUCAGAACUUUGGCGAUGACGAAUGGCCCCUCCCAGGGGGGCGUGAGCUUGUGCCUCCCUCGGGCGUCUUGCCGCAGCCGAAGCACCAGGUCGCCCACCUGGAGGUCUCGGGGCCGGACCCCUCGGGCGUGGUAGCGUCGCAGGGACUGCUGGUACCUCGCCGAGUGUAGUAAGGCCUUGUCCCGAGCCUCUUCCAGCUGGUCCAGCGAGUCUUCUCGGCUAGCUUGGUUGCUUUGAUCGCUGUAGGCCCUCGUCCUCGGGGAGCCGUAUUCCAGGUCAGUGGGCAAGACAGCCUCGGCCCCGUAGACCAGGAAGAACAGCGUGAAACCCGUGGCUCGGCUCGGUGUUGUCCUCAGGCUCCAAACCACCGAGGGGAGUUCCUUCAUCCAUCGCUUGCCGAACUUGUUGAGGUCGUUGUAAAUCCGAGGCUUGAGCCCUUGUAGAAUCAUGCCGUUGGCACGCUCUACUUGCCUAUUCGACAUGGGAUGAGCCACGGCGGCCCAGUCCACCCGGAUGUGGUGGUCCUUGCAGAAGUCCAAGAAUUUUCUACCGGUGAACUGGGUGCCGUUGUCGGUGAUGAUGGAGUUCGGGACCCCGAAGCGAUGGAUGAUGUUGGUGAAGAACGCCACCGCCUGCUCGGACCUGAUGCUGUUCAGAGGUCGGACCUCGACCCACUUGGAGAAUUUGUCUAUGGCGACCAGCAGGUGCGUGUAGCCCCCGGGCGCCUUCUGUAAGGGGCCGACGAGGUCCAGACCCCACACAGCAAAAGGCCAGGUGAUGGGUAUCGUCUGCAGAGCCUGAGCAGGCAGGUGGGUCUGUUUCGCAUAGAAUUGACACCCUUCGCAGCUGCGGACAAUUCUAGUGGCGUCAGCCACCGCCGUCGGCCAGUAGAAGCCUUGCCGGAAAGCAUUCCCGACGAGGGCUCGAGGCGCUGCGUGAUGGCCGCAAGCCCCCGAGUGUAUCUCUUGUAGGAGUUCUUGUCCUUCGGCGACGGAGAUACAUCGCUGGAGGAUGCCCGAAGGGCUGCGGUGGUAGAGCUCCUUCUCAUCGCCCAGCAAGACGAACGACUUGGCGCGUCGCGCUACCCGCCGAGCCUCGGCUCGGUCGAGGGGUAGCUCUCCUUGGCGGAGAUAUCGCAGGUACGGGGUCUGCCAAUUUCGAUCAGGCGUGACCCCGGUCUGCUCCCCCUCGAUGCGCAAUGCCUCGCCUUCGGUGGCCGAGGGUACCUCGGGCUGAUUCGAGGGUGCCUCGGGCCGAGCCGAGGGUGCCUCGGGUUGUGCCGAGGGUACCUUGGGCUGAACCGAGGUCGCCUCUGGCUCGGCCGAGUCGUCGAUCUUGACGGAGGGUUGAUGCAGAUCCCGGGAGAAGACGUCCGGGGGAACCGUUGCUCGCCCUGAGGCUAUUUUAGCCAGCUCGUCCGCGGUCUCGUUGUAGCGCCAAGCGACGUGGUUGAGCUCGAGCCCGUAGAACUUGUCUUCCAGGCGCCGAACCUCAUCGCAGUAGGCCUCCAUCUUCGGGUCGCGGCAGUGGGGGUUCUUCAUGACUUGGUCGAUGACGAGCUGCGAGUCACCGCGAGCGUCGAGGCGUCGGACCCCUAGCUCGAUGGCGAUCCGCAACCCAUUGACCAGAGCCUCGUACUCAGCCACAUUGUUGGACGCCGGGAAAUGGAGGCGCAGCACGUAGCGUAGGUGCUUCCCGAGGGGUGAGAUGAAGAGCAGGCCCGCGCCGGCUCCUGUCUUCAUCAGCGACCCGUCGAAAAACAUGGUCCAGAGCUCCGGUUGGAUCGGAGCCGUCGGUAGCUGAGUGUCGACCCAUUCGGCUACGAAGUCCGCCAAGACCUGGGACUUGAUGGCCUUCCGAGGGGCGAACGAGAUUGUCUCGCCCAUGAUUUCCACCGCCCACUUUGCAAUCCUGCCCGAGGCCUCUCGGCACUGGAUGAUCUCCCCCAGGGGGAAGGAUGACACCACAGUUACCGGAUGAGACUCGAAGUAGUGUCGUAACUUCCGCCUCGUCAGGAUCACUGCGUACAACAGCUUCUGAAUUUGUGGGUAGCGGAUCUUGGUUUCGGACAGUACCUCGCUGACGAAGUAGACUGGCCUCUGAACGGGUAAUGCAUGCCCCUCUUCUUGCCUCUCGACCACAAUCGCGGAGCUAACUACCUGAGUGGUCGCGGCGACGUAGACCAAGAGGGCUUCACCAUCAGCUGGAGGCACCAGGAUAGGCGCCUUUGUGAGGAGCGCCUUCAGGUUCUCGAGGGCUUCCUCGGCCUCAGGGGUCCAAGUGAAACACUCGGCCUUCCUUAAGAGGUGGUACAGAGGCAGACCUCUUUCGCCGAGGCGUGAGAUGAAGCGGCUUAGAGCCGCAAGACAUCCCAUGACCCUCUGUAUGCCCUUUAAGUCCUUGAUGGGCCCCAUGCUGGUGAUGGCUGCGAUUUUCUCCGGGUUGGCUUCGAUGCCUCGCUCGGAGACGAUGAACCCCAAGAGCAUGCCUCGGGGCACCCCGAAGACACACUUCUCAGGAUUGAGCUUGACGCCUUUCGCCUUGAGACAUCGGAAUGUCACUUCAAGGUCGGAGAGAAGGUCCGAGGUUUUCCUCGUCUUGACUAUGAUGUCAUCGACGUAGGCCUCGACCGUGCGACCGAUGUGUUCCCCGAACACAUGGUUCAUGCACCGCUGGUAUGUCGCGCCUGCAUUCCUCAAACCGAACGGCAUGGUGACAUAGCAGUACAUGCCGAAGGGCGUGAUGAAAGAAGUCGCAAGCUGGUCGGACUCUUUCAUCUUGAUCUGAUGAUACCCUGAGUAGGCAUCGAGGAAAGACAGGGUUUCGCACCCAGCAGUGGAAUCCACGAUUUGAUCGAUGCGAGGCAGAGGGUAGGGAACCUUCGGACAUGCUUUGUUGAGACCAGUGUAGUCUACACACAUCCGCCAUUUCCCCCCUUUCUUUCUCACAAGCACAGGGUUGGUAAGCCAUUCGGGAUGGAAUACCUCUUUGAUGAACCCUGCCGCCAUUAGCUUGUGGAUCUCCUCGCCUAUCGCUUUGCGCUUUUCCUCGUCGAAUCGGCACAGAGGCUGCUUGACGGGUCGGGCUCCGGCCCGAAUAUCCAGCGAGUGCUCGGCGACAUCCCUCGGUAUGCCGGGCAUGUCCGAGGGACUCCACGCGAAGACGUCGGCGUUCGCGUGGAGAAAGUCGACGAGCACUGCUUCCUAUUUGGGGUCGAGCCCGGAACCGAUCCGGAUCUGCUUGGAGACGUCGCCACUGGGGUCGAGGGGGACGGUCUUAACCGUCUCCGCUGGCUCGAAGUUGCCGGCAUGACGCUUCACGUCUGGCACCUCUUUGGAGAGGUUCUCCAGGUCGGCGAUGAGGGCCUCGGACUCGGCGAGGGCCUCGGCGUACUCCACGCACUCCACGUCGCAUUCGAACGCGUGUUUGUACGUGGGGCCGACGGUGAUGACCCCGUUGGGGCCCGGCAUCUUGAGCUUCAGGUAGGUGUAGUUGGGGACGGCCAUGAACUUCGCGUAGCAUGGCCUCCCCAAUACCGCGUGGUAGGUUCCUCGGAACCCGACCACCUCGAACGUUAGAGUCUCUCUUCGGAAGUUGGAGGGCGUUCCGAAGCAGACGGGUAGGUCGAGUCGUCCGAGGGGCUGGACGCGCUUCCCGGGAAUGAUCCCGUGGAAGGGCGCAGCGCCUGCCCGGACGGAGGAUGGAUCGACGCGCAGGAGCCUGAUGGUCUCGGCGUAGAUGAUGUUGAGGCUGCUGCCCCCGUCCAUAAGGACCUUGGUGAGCCUGACGUCGCCGAUGACGGGGUCGACGACGAGCGGGUAUUUCCCCGGGCUCGGCACGUGGUCGGGGUGGUCAGCUUGGUCGAAGGUGAUGGGCUUGUCGGACCAGUCCAGGUAGACUGGCGCCGCCACCUUCACCGAGCAUACCUCCCGGCGCUCUUGCUUGCGAUGCCGAGCCGAGGCAUUCGCCGCAUGCCCACCGUAGAUCAUGAAGCAGUCGCGGACCUCGGGGAACUCUCCUGCUUGGUGAUCUUCCUUCUUGUCGUCGUCGCGGGCCCUGCCACCCUCCGCGGGUGGCCCGGCCCUGUGGAAGUGACGCCGAAGCAUGUCGCACUCCUCAAGGGUGUGCUUGACGGGCCCCUAAUGAUAGGGGCACGGCUCCUUGAGCAUCUUGUCGAAGAGGUUAGCACCUCCGGGGGGCUUCCGACGGUUCUUGUACUCGGCGGCGGCGACAAGGUCCGCGUCGGCGGCUUCGCGUUUCGCUUGCGACUUCUUCUUGCCUUUCUUCUUGGCGCCGCGCUGAGUAGACGCCUCGGGAGCCUCUUCCGAUGGGCGGCCCUGGGGCUGCUUGUCCUUUCGGAAGGUAGCCUCGACCGCCUCCUGGCCAGAGGCGAACUUGGUGGCGAUGUCCAUCAGCUCGCUCGCCCUGGUGGGGGUCUUGCGACCCAACUUGCUCACCAGGUCGCGACAGGUGGUGCCGGCAAGGAACGCGCCGAUGACAUCCGAGUCGGUGAUGUUGGGCAGCUCGGUGCGCUGCUUCGAGAAUCGCCGGAUGUAAUCCCGGAGAGACUCUCUCGGCUGCUGCCGGCAGCUUCGGAGGUCCCAGGAAUUUCCGUGGCGCACGUAUGUGCCCUGGAAGUUUCCGGUGAAGGCUUGGACCAGGUCAUCCCAGCUGGAGAUCUGCCCCGGAGGCAGAUGCUCCAACCAGGCGCGAGCAGUGUCGGAGAGGAACAGGGGGAGGUUGCGUAUGAUGAGGUUGUCAUCGUCCGUUCCACCCAGUUGGCAGGCCAGGCGGUAGUCCGCGAGCCACAGUUCCGGUCUCGUUUCCCCCGAGUACUUUGUGAUAGUAGUUGGGGGUCGGAACCGGGUAGGGAACGGUGCCCGUCGGAUGGCCCGGCUGAAGGCUUGCAGACCGGGUGGUUCGAGCGAGGGACUCCGAUCCUCCCCGCUGUCGUAGCGUCCCCCACGCCUGGGGUGAUAGCCUCGGCGCACCCUCUCGUCGAGGUGGGCUCGACGGUCGCGAUGAUGGUGCUCGUUGCCGAGGCGGCCCAGGGCCGCAGGCGCGGUGUUGCGCGUGCGCACGGUGUAGACCGAGGCUUCCCGCAUGAAUCGGGAAGUCGCGGCAUGAGGUUCCGAGGGGUAUCCCUGCCUUCGGGAGGCAGAGCUCUCGGCCCGUCGGACCGUAGCGCCUUCCAGGAGAUUCUUGAGUUCUCCCUGGAUUCGCCGACCCUCGGUGGUUGAUGGCUCCGGCAUCGCGCGGAGAAACAUCACUGCCGCCGCCAGGUUCUGACCGACCCCGCUGGAUGUAGGCUGUGGCCUGACCCUGACGUCAUCGGCGACACGGUGCUGGAGACCCUGAGGCAGGUGACGUAUUUCUCCGGCCGGGGGUUGACCCACCCAUGCCUGCCCGGCGUCCCGGCGGAUCGGCUCAAGCGCUCCUGCUCCCUCGUCGAUCCUGGCCUGCGCCCCGCGGACUUGCUCGAGCUGUGGGUCGUAACCCCCCGCCGGAACGGGGACCACAGCUAGCUCCCGCGGGAUGUCGGCGCGAGGCACCGGCCUAGGGAGAUCACCGUCCUCUGGCAUGCCGAGAUGAUUUCCUUCGGAGUGACCCCCUAGAUCGACGUGGAAACAUUCGCGGCUUGGGCCGCAGUCCUCGUCGUCGAGGCUGCGGCUACCGUCGGAACAGUCGGAGAGGCAGAAGUCACAUACGGUCAUGAAGUCCCGCAUGCCACUGGGGUUGCCAAGUCCAGAGAAAUCCCAACAGAUGCUGGGGUCGUCGUCUUCCUCGGUCCCAGAGGGCCCGUAGGUGGAGACAUCCGUCAACCGGUCCCAAGGCGACCGCGUGCGAGACCCCAAAGGGUUUGGACUCGCCUCUACGAGAAUGCCCGCCAAAGCAAGAUUGCUAGGCGGGUUGAGGCUGAAUCCAAAAGACGUAGGAUGGGAAUCAGUCGGUACCUCUUGAUCGUCGAGCGGCGAUGAAGUCACGUCGGGGACUGACUGCACCGUCGCCUCAGGUACGAGGGCGAUGCCCAGCAAACUUUCCGCAAGCGCGCUGGCGUCCUCCAUUUGCUCGGGUUUGGCGUGUCGCGGGGAGACGACGCUCGUCUUCGUCUCAGACGCGAGGUCGAUGCCCGGUGCACCCCUCGUUGGGACGCUGGGGACGUCAACUCGCUCGACAGCCGACGAGGCGCGGCCUCCUGCUUGGCCCUGGUUGCCCCGCCUCCUCCUCCGUUGGCGGGGGAGAGGACAGAGCGAGCUUGAACGUUGUUCUUCCACCACGCGGGGAAGACGUCGUCGAUUCCGCCGCCGGCGGGCGGGUUGUUGACCGCCUUUGUCGUUGUCGCGCGGCGGUGGAAGGAGUAUCAUGUCGUAGCUGCCAUCGAAGGACAUGAACUCAAGACUCCCGAAACGGAGCACCGUCCCGGGUCGGAGAGGUUGCUGGAGACUGCCCAUCUGGAGCUUGACGGGAAGCUGUUCGUCAACACGCAGCAGGCCCCUACCUAGCGCGCCAACUGUCGGCGUUUCGAGACCGGGGGUCCCUCAGGCCGACGAGUGAGUGCCGCGUGCCCCAGCCCAGAUGGGUCGAGCGCGUGGGCGAGCACAAAGGGGGGAGAGGAGCGAGGCGGCCGGAGUCCAGCGUGAGAGUGGUGGGAAUCCCGCGGCCUUCGUGUUCGUCCCGCGCCCAGGUCGGGUGCGCUUGCAGUAGGGGGUUACAAGCGUCCACGCGGGUGAGGGAAGCGAGCGGCCCCAAGGGAGCGCCUGUCUCGUCCUCGUCCUCGCGCGGCCAACCCUCUCUAAGAGGGCCCUGGUCCUUCCUUUUAUAGGCGUAAGGAGAGGAUCCAGGUGUACAAUGGGGGUGUAGCGAGGUGCUACGUGUCUAGCGGGGGAGAGCUGACGCCCUAAGUACAUGCCAAUGUGGCAGCCGGAGAGAUCUUGGCACCCUGCUGGUGUGAUGUCGUGGCCGUCGGAGGAGCGACGGUGCUUGGCGGAGGGACAGCUGUUGGAGCGGUCGAGUCCUUGCUGACGUCCGCCUGCCUCCGUAAGAGAGCUGGGGGCCGCCGUCGUCACAGAGCGUGCGAGGGCGCCAUCAUUGCCUAUCUGGUAGAGCUAGCCAGAUGGGACACCGGUCUUGUUCCCUACGACCCGAGGCGGCUCGGGGUAGGGUGAUGAUGGUGCCUCCUGUUGACGUGGCUGGCCCGCGCCCUAGGUCGGGCGACGUGGAGGCUCCUCCGAAGCCGAGGUCGAGUCUGUCUUCCGUGGCCGAGGCCGAGCCCCUGGGUCGGGCGAGGCGGAGGUCGUUCGGCGGAGGCCAGGGCGGAGUCCGAGCCCUGGGGUCGGGCGAAGCGGAGUUCGUCGUCUUCUGGGACUGAGCCCGAAUCCGAGCCCUGGGUCGGGCGGAGCGGAGUUCGCCGUCUUCCGGGACUUAGCCCGAGUCCGAGCCCUGGGUCGGGCGGAGCGGAGUUCGCCGUCUUCCGGGACUUAGCCCGAGUGUAAUACUCAAAAGUAUAAUAAAAGUGGAUAGAGAUAAACCCAUUAGUUUGUGGCCUCUACUAUUCAUUGCAUGUGAUCAACACUAGUUAAAAGUGGGUAAUUAGAACCAAGAACACCUAAAUAACAUGUGCAUCAUGCUGGAUCUUACUUUGUGUGCAUUUUGUGAUGAUAUAAAAAUAUGGUAAACAAAAAAAAAAUUAUGUUAAUACCCCAAUGGGAAGUUAAAUCCUAAACGAAAUUCUAGAGUUUGGAAAAGAAAUUCUAGAAGUGAAACCAAAAAGAGAAGGGAUAUAAAAAAAAUAAAUAAUAUAUAUAUAAAUAAAUAUAUUCAGAAUUAAUAUCCCUAAUUUCACAAAUAUAAGUUGAAGUGAUGAGCCAUAGAAGUUUGAAUUUAAGUUUGAAUUCAAAUUUAACUUGGAAAUGGAGAAAAGAAAAUAGGGAAUAAAAUGGAAAAAAGAUUAAAACCCUGUUUGGGCCGGCUAAGCCCUUUUCGGCCCACUAUCCAUCUCCCACCGCGCAGCCCAGGUCGUCAAUCUCCAUACCGCGCGCGCGCCCGACAUGUGGGGCUCGGCCGUCAGCGCAUGGCCGCCCACUUGCCUCACUGCGCCGCGGGCCCCAUGCGUCAUUCACCGCUGCCUCGCGCUCGUGAUUUCCCUCGCCGCCCGGUGGGCCCUCCUAGUCAGAUCGACCAUCUCCUCGGUUGGUUGGGUCAACCCGCUCCUUCCGCCGCUGCAUGCUCGCCGGCCGCGUGGACUGUUGCGGUAUCUCGGUCACCCGCGUGUCCAUAAAACCGGACGUAACCUCUCUCUCCUCCCCCUCGUGUUCGCGUGCGCCGCCAAGCGUAAAUUUCCCCUGUCCAGAGAAUACCCUGUGUCAGUCGCCGUCGCGCGCUCGGCCGUGGGUGGAAAUCCUGUUCCUGCGCCUUCUAGCCAGUGCUGUGAGGUCAGAGAGCUCCGCCCGAACCUCCUAUUCGCGAUUGCCGUAGUGCCGUGCGAGGGGACGGGCCGUGUGCCUCCAAUUUCUCGCCGUCGAAUCGUUCUCCGCCGCGGGACUACAGCGCGUCGUGGGCAGGAUUCCUGGGAGCUUGAUCUACGGUAAGGCACCCACCAUUGCAUUCAUUAUCUCUUCCCUACUGCGUAGCCGUGGGCAAUUUGGAAAUUGGGGCACCUGGGUGCCAGGUAGGCUCCGCGCCGGCAAGGUCCGGCCGCUGGGAUUCGUCGCGCCGCUGGGGUCCGAUGCUGGAGGUAGGAGAGGCAUCUUGGGCCGUUGGAUCAGUUCCCCACGGUUGAGAUUAGAAUCUGCGUACCGUUUCACUCAGGGUGAUCAUGGCCAUUAGAUUUGGAUCGUAGGGUUCACGAUUGAUUAUGACGUAGAUUCAGCGUGGACCGUGCGAUUGAAAUCCGAGGGCCCGCAUUCCAUACCGCUUCAAUAUGAACCGUGAUCUAAUCUGGAUUGUUUAAAUUGAAUCGGGCGGCCAGGGUCGUUGGAUACCCCUUCGGUCGGGUCGUUUUGCAAAAGAACCCUCGGGGAAAAUGGGAAUCAACCCGCAGUCCGCUCGGGUGUCUCCCUGAGUCUGUGGAAUUCUUGCACCGUAGCCCCUGCUCUUUCUGGUAUUUGAGGCCUAGUCCAGAGAACAGAAAAACCAGAGAAAUGAAUUUAUAAAUAGAUUUUUAAUAUUAAAUUAAUGGCAAAAACUUGUUUAAUUCACAGAAAAUGCAUAUGAACUCCAAAUUGACCCAUUCCAGUUCCUAAAUUUUUAUAAUAUUAUUGCCUAACCAUUAGUGCCUCUGUUUUAACAUGAAAGAUGAUUUAAAAGUUAUCUAGCACUUAAUCUUGUAUUAAGCACAUAAAGCAUUAGAAAAUCCAUAACUUAAAAUCCGUUACUCCAAAAUUAAUAAUUCCAGUUCCUGUGAUCUCAUUUUAAUGUGUAGAUUUUUACUGUGUAUUUUAUUUACAUGCUUUGUGUAAUGUUAAUUCUUGCUAUACUAUGUAUGUAUUGUGUUGAUGCGAGUAGACGAGCAAGCUACAGAGGAUUCUGAGGUUCAGCAAGUAGAGGUAGCUGAGCAGGAGCUCAUUG
rnacentral:lncRNA from 1 species